GUAUAUAUAGAAAAGAUUCGCAUGACCUGUGCACAAAGAUAACAUGCAAAUUCAUGAGAAUUUCCAUAUUUUU
rnacentral:snRNA from 1 species